rnacentral:tRNA from 8 species
GCCGGCGUGGCGAAAUCGGUAUACGCAAGGGACUUAAAAUCCCUCCUCUUCACGGAGAUGCGGGUUCAAGUCCCGCCGCCGGCACCA